rnacentral:rRNA from 1 species
AGUGAACGCUGGCGGUAGGCCUAACACAUGCAAGUCGAACGGCAGCACAGUAAGAGCUUGCUCUUACUGGUGGCGAGUGGCGGACGGGUGAGGCAUACAUCGGAAUCUACUUUUUCUUGGGUGAUAACGUAGGGAAACUUACGCUAAUACCGCAUACGACCUACGGGUUAAAGCAGGGGAUCUUCGCACCUUGCGCGAUUGUAUGAGCCGAUGUCGGAUUAGCUAGUUGGCGGGGUAAAGGCCCACCAAGGCGACGAUCCGUAGCUGGUCUGAGAGGAUGAUCAGCCACACUGGAACUGAGACACGGUCCAGACUCCUACGGGAGGCAGCAGUGGGGAAUAUUGGACAAUGGGCGCAAGCCUGAUCCAGCAAUACCGCGUGGGUGAAGAAGGCCUUCGGGUUGUAAAGCCCUUUUGUUGGGAAAGAAAAGCAGCAGGUUAAUACCCCGCUGUUCUGACGGUACCCAAAGAAUAAGCAACGGCUAACUUCGUG